UGGCGGAGUGCUUAACACAUGCAAGUCGAGCGAUGAAGCUUNUUCGGNAGUGNAUUAACGGCGGACGGGUGANUAACACGUGGGUNACCUGCCUCAUANAGGGGAAUAGCCUUUCNAAAGGAANAUUAAUACCGCAUAAGAUUGUAGUACCGCAUGGUACAGCAAUUAAAGGAGUAAUCCGCUAUGAGAUGGACCCGCGUCGCAUUAGCUAGUUGGUGAGGUAACGGCUCACCAAGGCGACGAUGCGUAGCCGACCUGAGAGGGUGAUCGGCCACAUUGGGACUGAGACACGGCCCAGACUCCUACGGGAGGCAGCAGUGGGGAAUAUUGCACAAUGGGGGAAACCCUGAUGCAGCAACGCCGCGUGAGUGAUGACGGCCUUCGGGUUGUAAAACUCUGUCUUUGGGGACGAUAAUGACGGUACCCAAGGAGGAAGCCACGGCUAACUACGUGCCAGCAGCCGCGGUAAUACGUAAGUGGCAAGCGUUGUCCGGAUUUACUGGGCGUAAAGGGA
rnacentral:rRNA from 1 species